GUCGAGCGGACAGAAGGGAGCUUGCUCCCGGAUGUUAGCGGCGGACGGGUGAGUAACACGUGGGUAACCUGCCUGUAAGACUGGGAUAACUCCGGGAAACCGGAGCUAAUACCGGAUAGUUCCUUGAACCGCAUGGUUCAAGGAUGAAAGACGGUUUCGGCUGUCACUUACAGAUGGACCCGCGGCGCAUUAGCUAGUUGGUGAGGUAACGGCUCACCAAGGCGACGAUGCGUAGCCGACCUGAGAGGGUGAUCGGCCACACUGGGACUGAGACACGGCCCAGACUCCUACGGGAGGCAGCAGUAGGGAAUCUUCCGCAAUGGACGAAAGUCUGACGGAGCAACGCCGCGUGAGUGAUGAAGGUUUUCGGAUCGUAAAGCUCUGUUGUUAGGGAAGAACAAGUGCAAGAGUAACUGCUUGCACCUUGACGGUACCUAACCAGAAAGCCACGGCUAACUACGUGCCAGCAGCCGCGGUAAUACGUAGGUGGCAAGCGUUGUCCGGAAUUAUUGGGCGUAAAGGGCUCGCAGGCGGUUUCUUAAGUCUGAUGUGAAAGCCCCCGGCUCAACCGGGGAGGGUCAUUGGAAACUGGGAAACUUGAGUGCAGAAGAGGAGAGUGGAAUUCCACGUGUAGCGGUGAAAUGCGUAGAGAUGUGGAGGAACACCAGUGGCGAAGGCGACUCUCUGGUCUGUAACUGACGCUGAGGAGCGAAAGCGUGGGGAGCGAACAGGAUUAGAUACCCUGGUAGUCCACGCCGUAAACGA
rnacentral:rRNA from 1 species